GAUGAAGAACGUAGCGAAAUGCGAUAAGUAGUGUGAAUUGCAGAAUUCAGUGAAUCAUCGAAUCUUUGAACGCACAUUGCGCCCCUUGGUAUCCCGAGGGGCAUGCCUGUUCGAGCGUCAUUUCACCACUCAAGCCUGGCUUGGUGUUGGGCGACGUCCCCUUUGGGGACGCGCCUCGAAACGCUCGGCGGCGUGGCACCGGCUUUAAGCGUAGCAGAAUCUUUCGCUUUGGAAGUCGGGGCCCCGUCUGCCGGAAGACCUACUCGCAAGGUUGACCUCGGAUCAGGCAGGGAUACCCGCUGAACUUAAGCAUAUCAACAAGCGGAGGA
rnacentral:misc_RNA from 1 species